CCUACGGGUGGCAGCAGUGAGGAAUAUUGGUCAAUGGUCGGGAGACUGAACCAGCCACGCCGCGUGAGGGAUGAAGGUACAGGGUAUCGUAAACCUCUUUUGUCGGGGAACAAAGGAGGGGACGCGUCCCCGGAUGAGUGUACCUGAAGAAAAAGCAUCGGCUAACUCCGUGCCAGCAGCCGCGGUAAUACGGAGGAUGCGAGGGUUAUCGGGAUGUAGUGGGGUUAAAGGGUGCGCAGGCGGUCUGUUAAGUCAGCGGUCAAAGCCCGGGGCUCAACCCCGGCCCGCCGUUGAAACUGGCAGUCUCGAGUUGGAGAGAGGUAUGCGGAAUGCGCGGUGUAGCGGUGAAAUGCAUAGAUAUCGCGCAGAACUCCGAUUGCGAAGGCAGCAUGCCGGCUCCACACUGACGCUGAGGCACGAAAGCGUGGGGAUCGAACAGGAUUAGAUACCCCGGUAGUC
rnacentral:rRNA from 1 species